AUACGUAGGGUGCGAGCGUUGUCCGGAAUUACUGGGCGUAAAGAGCUCGUAGGUGGUUUGUCGCGUCGUCUGUGAAAUUCCGGGGCUUAACUCCGGGCGUGCAGGCGAUACGGGCAUAACUUGAGUACUGUAGGGGAGACUGGAAUUCCUGGUGUAGCGGUGAAAUGCGCAGAUAUCAGGAGGAACACCGGUGGCGAAGGCGGGUCUCUGGGCAGUAACUGACGCUGAGGAGCGAAAGCAUGGGUAGCGAACAGGAUUAGAUACCCUGGUAUUCCAUGCCGUAACCGGUGGGCGCUAGGUGUAGGGGUCUUCCACGACUUCUGUGCCGUAGCUAACGCAUUAAGCGCCCCGCCUGGGGAGUACGGCCGCAAGGCUAAAACUCAAAGGAAUUGACGGGG
rnacentral:rRNA from 1 species